GAGGAUGACAGCGUGCGCUACUCAGCCUUUGUCCUCUUUGGGCAGUUGGCUGCAUUUGCUGGGCGGAAAUGGAAGAAGUUCUUCACCCACCAGGUCAACCAGACCCAAGAUUCCCUCCUAAGCCAUUUGCAGGACGAAAGCCCUCAGGUUGCCAAGGCUUGCACAAUGGCUGUUCAAGCCUGUGUUCCAUACCUGAAACCCAGAAAGGAGCAGAGUUUCCAAAGUGAAGAAGACCAGAAGAACCGCAGGCUUUCCCAGCAACUGAGCCACUACCAUCCAGAGAUCCUGCUGUUCUUCUAUGCCAAUAAAAUCCUGUAGGUCCAGAGCAGCAGAGAAAGCCCACGGGAGUGCCCUGCCCCGGCAUGGAAUUUCCCAUCUGUCUCAUAGGAUACCUCUUUGACUCUCGAGUGAUUGUAAGAGAAAAGAGGAUGUCAGAGAGCAACUGAAAAAAAAAUCACCCUGGAGUGCACGCAAAGUAAAAUUCUAUGCAAGUGUGUGCACAUACAUGCACAUGACUGUGGAGGUCAGAGGACGACCUCACUGCUGUUCCUAAGGCGUCAUCCAUCUUUCCACUGAAACAGGAUCUUUGACUGGCCUGGGGCUUGCAGGAGCUUAGACUAGGCUUGAUAGCUAGUGAGCCAGCUCUGGGGUUAUAACCACAGUCCAUCGAACCAACCGUUUUUGACUGUGCCAAAUUCAGGCCCUUAUACCUACUUGUGCUGACUAAGCCGUCUCCCCAGCCCAGUAGAUGCACACUUCCUUAAAACAUUUAACAUGCAUGAUGUCCCAAUCCCUCCUUUCUCACUCCCUCUCUGCCAGGUGACACACAUUUAUAAUAUGUAACUUCUGAGGCUUGGGGGAACAAUUGUUACCUUAAACAUUUUUAAACUGUAUUUGUUUUUGAUAGUUUGCUAUUUGCUACGGACCAGGAGACCAAGGAGCUGGCUUACAAUGUGUCUUUAAUUUCGGAUGAUCUUAAAAUGUCAUGGUCUUAAAAUCGUCUUUAAAAAGAACAACAAGGAAAAGAAAUAUUGUUGAAAAUCCACUGAAUGAUGAUAAGUUACAGAAUAAAAACAGUAACAUUUACUGAGAA
rnacentral:lncRNA from 1 species